rnacentral:lncRNA from 1 species
CAGGACUGGUUUCCUCUGAGGACACAGGGGAAGGGUGUGUUCUCAGCCUCUUCCCUUGGUCUGGAGAUGGACACCUUCUCACUGCUUUGGCUUUGUGUGAUCUUCCCUCUGUGCAUAAGCAUACCAAGGUCUCUGUGUCUAGAUUUCCUCCUCUUAUAAGGACACCAGUUAAAUUGGAUUGGAUCCCAUUCUUAAAGCCACAUUGUUUUAAUUACUUCUUUAAAGGCCCUGCCUCCAAAAAUAGUCAUAUUCUGAGAUAGUGGGGGUUAGGGAUUCCACAUGAGAAUUUUGGGGAGACAGUUCAACUGAUAGCACGUCACAGUACUUUAUCAUAUGUAAUUAGAAAAUAGGGCAGAAUUAAAUUUUGAAGAUAG